AACGAACGCUGGCGGCAGGCUUAACACAUGCAAGUCGAGCGCCCCGCAAGGGGAGCGGCAGACGGGUGAGUAACGCGUGGGAAUCUACCGUGCCCUACGGAAUAGCUCCGGGAAACUGGAAUUAAUACCGUAUACGCCCUACGGGGGAAGGAUUUAUCGGGGUAUGAUGAGCCCGCGUUGGAUUAGCUAGUUGGUGGGGUAAAGGCCUACCAAGGCGACGAUCCAUAGCUGGUCUGAGAGGAUGAUCAGCCACAUUGGGACUGAGACACGGCCCAAACUCCUACGGGAGGCAGCAGUGGGGAAUAUUGGACAAUGGGCGCAAGCCUGAUCCAGCCAUGCCGCGUGAGUGAUGAAGGUCUUAGGAUUGUAAAGCUCUUUCACCGGUGAAGAUAAUGACGGUAACCGGGGAAGAAGCCCCGGCUAACUUCGUGCCAGCAGCCGCCGUAA
rnacentral:rRNA from 1 species